AGUAUUUGGAGUUGCAAGAGAAAACAAGCAAAACAAAAGUUCAACUACUAGAAGCCAAAUUCAAGGAAUAUGAUAUAAGAUCAUAUAUGGAGCCUUCUUUGGAUCAACUCUUGAAGUGUGAGAAGAAUUUGAAAAAUUCUCUACGCUUGGUCAUGGAUAGAAAAACAGAAUUGCUUAGAGAGUUAAUACACCCUAAUGGGCAAUCCAAUGCUAACAAAACCCAG